CAGCCGCCACGGUAAUACGAAGGGGGCUAGCGUUGUUCGGAAUUAUUGGGCGUAAAGGGCUCGCAGGCGGUUUCUUAAGUCUGAUGUGAAAGCCCCCGGCUCAACCGGGGAGGGUCAUUGGAAACUGGGAAACUUGAGUGCAGAAGAGGAGAGUGGAAUUCCACGUGUAGCGGUGAAAUGCGUAGAGAUGUGGAGGAACACCAGUGGCGAAGGCGACUCUCUGGUCUGUAACUGACGCUGAGGAGCGAAAGCGUGGGGAGCGAACAGGAUUAGAUACCCCCGUAGUCCCUGUCUCUUAUAC
rnacentral:rRNA from 1 species